UCGGAUGCUGACGAGUGGCGAACGGGUGAGUAAUGCAUCGGAACGUGCCCAGUCGUGGGGGAUAACGCAGCGAAAGCUGUGCUAAUACCGCAUACGAUCUAUGGAUGAAAGCGGGGGAUCGCAAGACCUCGCGCGAUUGGAGCGGCCGAUGUCAGAUUAGCUAGUUGGUGGGGUAAAGGCCCACCAAGGCGACGAUCUGUAGCUGGUCUGAGAGGACGACCAGCCACACUGGGACUGAGACACGGCCCAGACUCCUACGGGAGGCAGCAGUGGGGAAUUUUGGACAAUGGGCGCAAGCCUGAUCCAGCAAUGCCGCGUGCAGGAAGAAGGCCUUCGGGUUGUAAACUGCUUUUGUACGGAACGAAAAGGUCUGGGUUAAUAUCCUGGGCUCAUGACGGUACCGUAAGAAUAAGCACCGGCUAACUACGUGCCAGCAGCCGCGGUAAUA
rnacentral:rRNA from 1 species